GCCUCUGUGGUGCAAAUAGUUAACAUGCUUGGCUGCUAACCAGAGGUUGGAAGUUCAAGGUCCACCUAGAGGCA
rnacentral:tRNA from 1 species